UGGGGGUCCAUGGUCUAAUUUGUGCCAGUUUAGGAGUACUUGAUGUGAAAAAGUUUGGGAACCACUGGCCUAUAUUACAGCUCCUGACUU